rnacentral:rRNA from 1 species
AGAGUUGAUCCUGGCUCAGGAUGAACGCUAGCUACAGGCUUAACACAUGCAAGUCGAGGGGAAACGACAUCGAAAGCUUGCUUUUGAUGGGCGUCGACCGGCGCACGGGUGAGUAACGCGUANCCAACCUGCCCACCACUUGGGGAUAACCUUGCGAAAGUAAGACUAAUACCCAAUGAUAUCUCUAGAAGACAUCUGAAAGAGAUUAAAGAUUUAUCGGUGAUGGAUGGGGAUGCGUCUGAUUAGCUUGUUGGCGGGGUAACGGCCCACCAAGGCAACGAUCAGUAGGGGUUCUGAGAGGAAGGUCCCCCACAUUGGAACUGAGACACGGUCCAAACUCCUACGGGAGCAGCA